rnacentral:ncRNA from 1 species
GUGUUGUAUGAAAGGAGAGAAGGUUAGUACUCCCCUUGACAAGGAUGGAAGAGGCUCUCAGGCCUGUACAACAUGCAUACGGAAAUUAAAAAAUAAAUU